rnacentral:tRNA from 1 species
CAUUAGAUGACUGAAAGUAAGUAAUGGUCUCUUAAACCAAAUUAUAGUAGUUAACGAUUACUUCUAAUG